UACGUAGGGUGCGAGCGUUGUCCGGAUUUAUUGGGCGUAAAGGGCUCGUAGGCGGCUUGUCGCGUCGGGAGUGAAAGCCCGCUGCUUAACGGCGGGUUUGCUUUCGGUACGGGCAGGCUAGAGUUCGGCAGGGGAGACUGGAAUUCCUGGUGUAGCGGUGAAAUGCGCAGAUAUCAGGAGGAACACCGGUGGCGAAGGCGGGUCUCUGGGCCGAUACUGACGCUGAGGAGCGAAAGCGUGGGGAGCGAACAGG
rnacentral:rRNA from 1 species